GCGGAUAUGGCGGAAUUGGCAGACGCGCCAGAUUUAGGUUCUGGUGGGAGACCGUGCAGGUUCAAGUCCUGUUAUCCGCA
rfam:Lachnospiraceae bacterium COE1 genomic scaffold acPFN-supercont1.1, whole genome shotgun sequence.